GACGAACGCUGGCGGCGUGCUUAACACAUGCAAGUCGAACGGAAAGGCCCUGCUUUUGUGGGGCUCUCGAUAGGCGAACGGGUGUGUAACACGCGUGUAUCCCCCCCCUGUAUGUGGGGUAACUUUACGGAACAGCGGCUCUUACCCGAUAGGAGCUUCUGCACCACGGUGUGGGAUAGUAAAAGUCGGCGGUUGGGGCUCGACUGGAUGGUUAUCCGCUUGGUGGGCUGGUUGUUGAUUACCAAGGCUUUGACGGGUAGCCGGCCUGAGAGGGUUACCGGGCACAUUGGGACAGAGAGACGGCCCAGAAGCCUACGGGAGGCAGCAGGGGGGAAUAUUGCACAAUGGGGGGAAGCCUGAGGCAGAAACGCCGCGUGCGGAAUGACGGGCUUCGGGGUGUAAACCGCUUUCGCCUGUGACGAAGCGUGAGUGACGGUAAUGGGUAAAGAAGCACCGGCUAACUACGUG
rnacentral:rRNA from 1 species